GCAAUGGUGGUUCUGUGGUAGAAUUCUUACCCUGCACGUGGGAGACCCAGGUUCAAUUCCCAGCCACUGCA
rnacentral:tRNA from 1 species